UAUGUUGAGUUGACGUUUCUUCAAAAUUUCAUUCCAAAAUAAAAUAUUGGGACCGUUGAAAUUUUAAAGUUCUUAAAGGCAGAUUGUUCUCCCAAUGUAAGUAUUACAUAUAGAUUUCUUUUGACCAUCCCUGUGACUAUUGCAUGAGCGAAACAGAGCUUUUCGAAAAUUGAAGCUAUUGAAGUCUUAUAUGUCAAUAUGUCUACUACCAUGACAAGACUUACUGAUUUGGCCGCAAUAGCACUUGAGAGUGAAGUAUUGGAGUGGAUUGAUCAUGAGGAUAUCAUUGUAGAUUUUAUUUCAAGGAACACUAAAAGAAUGAUGUUAUUUAUGAAGACUUCACAACCAAGAAUAUAUAUGAUUCUUGAUAUUUCUCGUCGCUAUGUAAGAUAUUAUGAUCUUUACAUUAUUGUAUUGUUAUAUUUAUGUAGUCUAUUUAGCGAGGUAGGGCCCAUUUUAGAGUUUGGCGCAUGGCCUCGUAUUUUGUCAGCCCGGCCCUGCUCUGCGUCAAAGUUGGGGUUUGCAGUGGCCAUGGCUGCCACGGCUUCCUUGCUCGGGUGCUCACUGUUGAUCUGGCCCUCCGCCAGCCAGUGCUGCUCCUAUGCCUGCUCGAAGGCCGACAUAGGCACCGACACAUACUUCUCCUUCACCAUGGAAGCAUUAUAG
rnacentral:rRNA from 1 species